AUAUAAAAUUAUCAUUUUGCAAUCGAAUGGUAAUAGCAAGUGUUUUUUAAUCCUUUGUGUUUUACCACAACAAAAGUGAUGUGGAGAAAUUAAAACCCAAGCGAAAUUUUAUUUAUACCCAGGUUCCAAAUCCGGAAGUAUCUACUUACAUUCUCUUUAAUACAUUUUGGAAAUUUAAUGUGUUUUAACAAAGCACUAAAAAUAAAUAGGUGUUUACUGAUUAGAAAAUACCUAAACUUGCCCACAGGCAAAGAAAAUCGCGUGUGGUGAUGUUACCUCCAUUUGUCCAUUAUGUUAAUGAUCGAGAAAGGUAGAAUUCCAAUUUCUGAUUCAAGGAAUAUUGAUUAUUAAAUGUAAAACAUACCGUUCGAUGUGUUAUAACAUCCUUUUCCAAAAAUAAAGUAUGCGAAAAUCGCGGACACACACUGGGUUUCGUUCACUCCACUGACUGCGAAUGACCCACACCACAAGUCAUAUACCCACUACCAUCAUCAGCUGUUGAAUUAACUACAAACAUCCUACAUGUCGUUUGCUGUUUGAAUUGGUCACCUACUAGUCAGUGAAACAAAGCUAACUCCUACGUUUAAGAUAGAAAA